rnacentral:rRNA from 1 species
UGGGGAAUAUUGCACAAUGGGCGCAAGCCUGAUGCAGCCAUGCCGCGUGUAUGAAGAAGGCCUUCGGGUUGUAAAGUACUUUCAGCGGGGAGGAAGGCGAUAAGGUUAAUAACCUUGUCGAUUGACGUUACCCGCAGAAGAAGCACCGGCUAACUCCGUGCCAGCAGCCGCGGUAAUACGGAGGGUCCAAGCGUUAAUCGGAAUUACUGGGCGUAAAGCGCACGCAGGCGGUCUGUCAAGUCGGAUGUGAAAUCCCCGGGCUCAACCUGGGAACUGCAUUCGAAACUGGCAGGCUAGAGUCUUGUAGAGGGGGGUAGAAUUCCAGGUGUAGCGGUGAAAUGCGUAGAGAUCUGGAGGAAUACCGGUGGCGAAGGCGGCCCCCUGGACAAAGACUGACGCUCAGGUGCGAAAGCGUGGGGAGCAAACA